rnacentral:rRNA from 1 species
AUGUCUAGGUAUAUCAGGUUGAAUGCAUCAGUUUCCAGCAGACCACUGAAGUUAAGCAACACUGAGCAUGGAUCGUACUUGGAUGGGUGAUAAAUCCACUAAUUGGAUUGC